GUUGGCUUGGAAGCAGCCAUUCAUUUAAAGAGUGCGUAACAGCUCACUAGUCGAGGAGUCGGGCGUGGAUAAUAAUCGGGUAUCAAGUUGUCUACCGAAGCAGUGGGAUCAUUUAUAUGAUCGGUAGGGGAGCAUUCCAGUCAGCGUCGAAGGCGUACCGUGAGGUAUUCUGGAGCGUCUGGAAAAGCAAAUGUAGGUAUAAGUAACGAUAAAGGGGGCGGGAAACCCCCUCGCCGAAAGACUAAGGUUUCCUGAUCAACGCUAAUCGGAUCAGGGUCAGUCGGGUCCUAAGGCUCAGCCGAACGGCGAUGCCGAUGGCAGAAACGGUUAAUAUUCCGUUACUACCUUCAGGAGUGACGUGGAGACGCAGUAGUGACAGUGCCGCCAUCUGACGGAAUAGAUGGUUGAAGGGUGUAGGAGUCGAUCAUGGCAGGCAAAUCCACCAUGAGAUCCGAACCUGACAGUAUGCCGCGUCCUUCGGGACAAGGCAAUAGUGCGCGUAAGCAUGCUGCCGAGAAAAUCCGCUAAACUUAAUCCUGUAGGUACCCGUACCGCAAACGGACACACGUAGUCGGGAUGAAUAUUCUAAGGCGCUUGAGUGAUUCACGGUUAAGGAACUAGGCAAACUGACCCUGUAACUUCGGGAUAAAGGGUCCCUACCCUUUUAUGGGAGGGCGCAGAGAAUCGGUCCAGGCAACUGUUUAACAAAAACACAGGGCUGUGCCAAAUCGAAAGAUCCAGUAUACAGCCUGACACCUGCCCGGUGCUGGAAGGUUAAGAGGAGAUGUCAUCGAUAAGAGAAGCGUUGAAUUGAAGCCCCAGUAAACGGCGGCCGUAACUAUAACGGUCCUAAGGUAGCGAAAUUCCUUGUCGGGUAAGUUCCGACCUGCACGAAUGGUGUAAUGAUCUGGACGCUGUCUCAACCGUGAGCUCAGUGAAAUUGUAGUAUCGGUGAAGAUGCCGAUUACCCGCGAUGGGACGAAAAGACCCCGUGAACCUUUACUAUAGCUUAUCAUUGAAUCUGGGCACGUGAUGUGUAGGAUAGGUCGGAGGCUUUGAAGCAGGUACGCCAGUAUUUGUGGAGCCGCUGUUGAAAUACGACCCUUUAUUUGUUUGGAUUCUAACCCGUGGAUACGGGGACAUUGAUUGGUGGGUAGUUUGACUGGGGUGGUCGCCUCCAAAAGCGUAACGGAGGCUUCUAAAGGUGCCCUCCGGCCGAUUGGUAACCGGCCUUAGAGUGUAAUGGCAUAAGGGCGCUUGACUGGGAGACUGACAAGUCGAUCAGGUAGGAAACUAGAGCAUAGUGAUCCGGUGUUUCCGUAUGGAAGGGACAUCGCUCAAAGGAUAAAAGGUACUCCGGGGAUAACAGGCUGAUCCCUCCCAAGAGCUCAUAUCGACGGAGUGGUUUGGCACCUCGAUGUCGGCUCGUCACAUCCUGGGGCUGGAGAAGGUCCCAAG
rnacentral:rRNA from 1 species